UACGUAGGGAGCAAGCGUUGUCCGGAAUCAUUGGGCGUAAAGCGCGCGUAGGCGGCCCGAUAAGUCCGCUGUGAAAGUCAACGGCUCAACUGUUGGAUGCCGGUGGAUACUGUCGGGCUAGAGUACGGAAGAGGCAAGUGGAAUUCCUGGUGUAGCGGUGGAAUGCGCAGAUAUCAGGAGGAACACCGGUGGCGAAGGCGGCAUCCUGGACCAAUACUGACGCUGAGGAGCGAAAGCCAGGGGAGCAAACGGG
rnacentral:rRNA from 1 species